rnacentral:rRNA from 1 species
UACGUAGGGGGCUAGCGUUGUCCGGAAUCAUUGGGCGUAAAGAGCGUGUAGGCGGUCCGGUAAGUCUGCUGUGAAAACUCGAGGCUCAACCUCGAGACGUCGGCGGAAACCAUCUGGCUAGAGUCCGGAAGAGGAGAGUGGAAUUCCUGGUGUAGCGGUGAAAUGCGCAGAUAUCAGGAAGAACACCCGUGGCGAAGGCGGCUCUCUGGGACGGUACUGACGCUGAGACGCGAAAGCGUGGGGAGCGAACAGG